rnacentral:rRNA from 1 species
GAUGAACGCUGGCGGCGUGCCUAAUACAUGCAAGUCGAGCGAACGGACGAGAAGCUUGCUUUUCUGAUGUUAGCGGCGGACGGGUGAGUAACACGUGGAUAACCUACCUAUAAGACUGGGAUAACUUCGGGAAACCGGAGCUAAUACCGGAUAAUAUUUUGAACCGCAUGGUUCAAAAGUGAGAGACGGUCUUGCUGUCACUUAUAGAUGGAUCCGCGCUGCAUUAGCUAGUUGGUAAGGUAACGGCUUACCAAGGCAACGAUGCAUAGCCGACCUGAGAGGGUGAUCGGCCACACUGGAACUGAGACACGGUCCAGACUCCUACGGGAGGCAGCAGUAGGGAAUCUUCCGCAAUGGGCGAAAGCCUGACGGAGCAACGCCGCGUGAGUGAUGAAGGUCUUCGGAUCGUAAAACUCUGUUAUUAGGGAAGAACAUAUGUGUAAGUAACUGUGCACAUCUUGACGGUACCUAAUCAGAAAGCCACGGCUAACUACGUG